rnacentral:rRNA from 1 species
AGUGAACGCUGGCGGUAGGCCUAACACAUGCUAGUCGAACGGCAGCACAGUAAGAGCUUGCUCUUACGGGUGGCGAGUGGCGGACGGGUGAGGAAUACAUCGGAAUCUACUUUUUCGUGGGGGAUAACGUAGAGAAACUUACGCUAAUACCGCAUACGACCUACGGGUGAAAGCAGGGGAUCUUCGGACCUUGCGCGAUUGAAUGAGCCGAUGUCGGAUUAGCUAGUUGGCGGGGUAAAGGCCCACCAAGGCGACGAUCCGUAGCUGGUCUGAGAGGAUGAUCAGCCACACUGGAACUGAGACACGGUCCAGACUCCUACGGGAGGCAGCAGUGGGGAAUAUUGGACAAUGGGCGCAAGCCUGAUCCAGCCAUACCGCGUGGGUGAAGAAGGCCUUCGGGUUGUAAAGCCCUUUUGUUGGGAAAGAAAAGCAGCAGGUUAAUACCCCGCUGUUCUGACGGUACCCAAAGAAUAAGCACCGGCUAACUUCGUG